UAUACAUGCAGUAGAACGCUGAAGAGAGGAGCUUGCUCUUCUUGGAUGAGUUGCGAACGGGUGAGUAACGCGUAGGUAACCUGCCUUGUAGCGGGGGAUAACUAUUGGAAACGAUAGCUAAUACCGCAUAACAAUGGAUGACACAUGUCAUUUAUUUGAAAGGGGCAAUUGCUCCACUACAAGAUGGACCUGCGUUGUAUUAGCUAGUAGGUGAGGUAAUGGCUCACCUAGGCGACGAUACAUAGCCGACCUGAGAGGGUGAUCGGCCACACUGGGACUGAGACACGGCCCAGACUCCUACGGGAGGCAGCAGUAGGGAAUCUUCGGCAAUGGGGGCAACCCUGACCGAGCAACGCCGCGUGAGUGAAGAAGGUUUUCGGAUCGUAAAGCUCUGUUGUAAGUCAAGAACGGGUGUGAGAGUGGAAAGUUCACACUGUGACGGUAGCUUACCAGAAAGGGACGGCUAACUACGUGCCAGCAGCCGCGGUAAUACGUAGGUCCCGAGCGUUGUCCGGAUUUAUUGGGCGUAAAGCGAGCGCAGGCGGUUUGAUAAGUCUGAAGUUAAAGGCUGUGGCUCAACCAUAGUUCGCUUUGGAAACUGUCAAACUUGAGUGCAGAAGGGGAGAGUGGAAUUCCAUGUGUAGCGGUGAAAUGCGUAGAUAUAUGGAGGAACACCGGUGGCGAAAGCGGCUCUCUGGUCUGUAACUGACGCUGAGGCUCGAAAGCGUGGGGAGCGAACAGGAUUAGAUACCCUGGUAGUCCACGCCGUAAACGAUGAGUGCUAGGUGUUGGAUCCUUUCCGGGAUUCAGUGCCGCAGCUAACGCAUUAAGCACUCCGCCUGGGGAGUACGACCGCAAGGUUGAAACUCAAAGGAAUUGACGGGGGCCCGCACAAGCGGUGGAGCAUGUGGUUUAAUUCGAAGCAACGCGAAGAACCUUACCAGGUCUUGACAUCCCGAUGCUAUUUCUAGAGAUAGAAAGUUACUUCGGUACAUCGGUGACAGGUGGUGCAUGGUUGUCGUCAGCUCGUGUCGUGAGAUGUUGGGUUAAGUCCCGCAACGAGCGCAACCCCUAUUGUUAGUUGCCAUCAUUCAGUUGGGCACUCUAGCGAGACUGCCGGUAAUAAACCGGAGGAAGGUGGGGAUGACGUCAAAUCAUCAUGCCCCUUAUGACCUGGGCUACACACGUGCUACAAUGGUUGGUACAACGAGUUGCGAGUCGGUGACGGCGAGCUAAUCUCUUAAAGCCAAUCUCAGUUCGGAUUGUAGGCUGCAACUCGCCUACAUGAAGUCGGAAUCGCUAGUAAUCGCGGAUCAGCACGCCGCGGUGAAUACGUUCCCGGGCCUUGUACACACCGCCCGUCACACCACGAGAGUUUGUAACACCCG
rnacentral:rRNA from 1 species